AUGGCGCCCACGGCCUCCCUGUCGGCGCUCUGCCUCCUCCUCCUCGCCGCCGCCGCCGCCGCCGGAGCUCGAGUGGACCCGAUUUAUUCUGGCAAACUGGUGCCAGACUGGAGCAGGGAACCCAAGUUUAAACUGCAGAAUUUCUCCCUGAAUCGAGAUGAUAGCCUUCAGCUCCUAAGCAGGCCACGAGAUGUGACUCGCAGGAAAUUGGGGGAGAGGACCGGUGUAAUAAAGAUGGAAACAGUGCAGCAGGAUGAUGAAGCCCUAGUUAAACUUGAGAAUGCAGGUUUUGAGCGUUCAAAAGCAGUUGAUUCUGCUGUGCUGGGAAAAUAUAGUCUAUGGAGACGCGAGAAUGAAAACGAGAAGGCGGAUGCAAAUGUUCGUCUGAUGCGGGACCAAAUGAUCAUGGCAAGAAUAUAUUCCGUGCUUGCCAAAUCCAGGGACAAGCUCGAUCUUUAUCGGGAGCUACUCGCCAGGAUCAAGGAAAGCCAGCGCUCCCUUGGGGAAGCUACUGCUGAUUCUGAUCUCCCUAAGAGUGCCUCUGAGAGAGCAAAAGCAAUGGGUCAAGUUUUAUCAAAAGCUAGGGAUCAACUGUACGAUUGCAAGGAAAUUACCCACCGUUUAAGAUCAAUGCUUCAGUCAGCUGAUGAGCAGGUCCGGAGCUUAAAGAAGCAGAGCACCUUCCUCAGUCAGUUGGCAGCUAAGACAAUACCGAAUGGCAUACAUUGCUUGUCCAUGCGCUUAACAAUAGACUAUUACCUUCUCUCUCCAGAGAAAAGAAAGUUCCCUAAUAGCGAGAAUUUGGAAGAUCCUGACCUUUAUCACUAUGCUCUUUUUUCGGACAAUGUUCUGGCAGCAUCAGUUGUGGUUAACUCAACCAUCGUGAACGCAAAGGAGCCUGAGAAGCAUGUCUUUCAUCUUGUUACUGACAAACUGAACUUUGGGGCAAUGAACAUGUGGUUCUUGUUGAAUCCACCUGGGGAUGCCACAAUCCAUGUUGAAAAUGUGGAUGACUUCAAAUGGUUGAACUCUUCGUACUGCCCUGUUUUGAAGCAGCUCGAGUCUGCAGCCAUGAAAGAGUACUACUUUAAGGCAGAUCGCCAAAAAACUCUCUCUGCUGGGUCCUCCAAUCUGAAGUACCGAAACCCAAAAUAUCUGUCCAUGCUCAACCAUCUAAGAUUUUACCUGCCACAAGUCUAUCCUAAGUUGAAUAAAAUCCUUUUCCUCGAUGACGACAUUGUGGUCCAGAAGGACUUGACUGGACUAUGGGAGGUUGAUCUUAAUGGGAAUGUAAAUGGUGCUGUGGAAACAUGUGGGGAGAGUUUCCACCGAUUUGACAAGUACCUCAAUUUUUCAAACCCAAAUAUUUCGCAGAAUUUUGAUCCUAAUGCAUGUGGUUGGGCUUAUGGAAUGAAUAUAUUUGAUCUGGAGGAGUGGAAGAAGAAGGACAUUACUGGAAUUUACCAUAAGUGGCAGAACAUGAAUGAAAACAGGCUGCUGUGGAAACUGGGGACGCUCCCGCCAGGCCUCAUGACUUUCUACAAGCUGACGCACCCCCUGGACAAAUCAUGGCAUGUGCUUGGGCUAGGGUACAACCCGACGGUCGAGCACGCGGAGAUCGACACCGCCGCCGUCAUCCACUACAACGGGAACAUGAAGCCGUGGCUGGAGAUUGCGAUGACCAAGUACCGGCCUUACUGGACGCAGUACAUCAACUACGAGCAUUCCUAUGUCCGGGGCUGCAAGAUCAGUCAAUAG
rnacentral:rRNA from 1 species